rnacentral:rRNA from 1 species
ACGGCUCAGUAACACGUGGAUAAUCUACCCUUAAAUCUAAAAUAACCCCAAAAAACUAAAAAUAAUACCGGAUAGAUCAUAGAUGCUGGAAUGCCCUAUGGUCUAAAGCUCCGGCGCCUAAGGAUGAGUCUGCGGUCUAUCAGGUUGUAGUGGGUGUAACGUACCUACUAGCCGACGACGGAUACGGGUUGUGAGAGCAAGAGCCCGGAGAUGGAUUCUGAGACAUGAAUCCAGGCCCUACGGGGCGCAGCAGGCGCGAAAACUUUACAAUGCGGGAAACCGCGAUAAGGGGAUACUGAGUGCCAGCAUUUAUGUUGGCUGUCCACAUGUCUAAAUCGCAUGUGUUAGCAAGGGCCGGGCAAGACCGGUGCCAGCCGCCGCGGUAACACCGGCGGCCCGAGUGGUAACCACUAUUAUUGGGUCUAAAGGGUCCGUAGCCGGUUUGAUCAGUCUUCCGGGAAAUCUGACAGCUCAACUGUUAGGCUUCUGGGGGAUACUGUCAGACUUGGGACCGGGAGAGGUAAGAGGUACUACAGGGGUAGGAGUGAAAUCUUGUAAUCCCUGUGGGACCACCAGUGGCGAAGGCGUCUUACCAGAACGGGUCCGACGGUGAGGGACGAAAGCUGGGGGCACGAACCGGAUUAGGUACCCGGGUAGUCCCAGCCGUAAACGAUGCUCGCUAGGUGUCUGGGACGGUGCGACCGUUUCAGGUGCCGCAGGGAAGCCGUGAAGCGAGCCACCUGGGAAGUACGGCCGCAAGGCUGAAACUUAAAGGAAUUGGCGGGGGAG